UUGCGUUAAGGAUUGGAGUGAAAAGCCCACAGUUCCUGAAUAGUGAACGAGGACUUGUAACGUAAAGCCUGACGGCCU
rnacentral:sRNA from 1 species